rnacentral:tRNA from 1 species
GCGGUCGUGGCGAAAUUGGCAGACGCGCAGGACUAAGGAUCCUGUGGGAUUAAACCCUUUCGAGUUCAAGUCUCGACGACCGCACCA